rnacentral:lncRNA from 10 species
AGAAGAAAGGGUAUGAAGAGGAAGUGAAGUAUGGUGUCAACGGUGCCAGUUCAUCUGCUUCUAAAAACAUUUAUGUAAAAGUAAGAAGACAAAACAGCCAUCGCGCUAAACCCAGGGUGCUGCUGAGCCCCAGGGUGGUGUUGACUGCUGCUGAGGUCCUGACCUGGGAGGAGAGUGAGGGCCGGGCCUUCAACUCCAAGGCCAUGGCUGUAAGAAACAAUCAUUUCCAACCCCACUUAAUUAUCUCUCCCCAGUCACUUUCUUUCCUUCUGUUAUAUUUGUCUUCUGCCAUGUAGGUAAAGGAAGGAAAAACAAAAUUUAAGAAAAGUCUAUGGAGUAGGUUAGGCGGGGGUUAGCGUGGAUGGUGAGACCGAAGGGUCAGAGGAACAUGAGACAGGUCAGACUGGGGUGGCCAACUGUCCCAGUUCACCUGGGACUGAGGAAGUACCUGGGCCUGAGACUCUUGUUUUAAAACUGGGAUGGUCCUGGACAAACCAGGAAGAGUAGAUCCCCCUACUCCCUGAUGGCCUGUGAGGCAGCAGACAUGGCCCAGCUGUCCCCCCAGGAGCCUCCACUCUGAGGUCACAUGCCCUGCACCUCCCCAUUGCACCCUCCGAGGGCCUCACAGUAUUACCAUUUACCAAGGCAGUUCUGGGAAUCAAUUCUGGCCUGACAUUGGGAACCCAAGCCAUACUUUCAUCUUCAACAUGUCACUUUUUAAACAAUUUUCUAGAAUGAAAUUACUUUAACUUUUGUUUUAAAAUGAUUUGUGAUUAAAGAGAAAACAGGAUCUUCAUAUGAACUGAGAUUGUGGUACAUUUGAACAGUCAAAAUUGUUCCGUUUAACUUGCAUUGAAUGCAAAUUUCAGUUCCUAAAAAACCCAAAUAAAGUAAUAAAUGUUCAGGGAAGGAGGUUUGAUUUAUCUCUUUCCCAAAAUGAUGACCUAGUAGGAAAAUUGCUGAUUGAGGAAAAACACAUGGAAGGUUCGCGAUAAUGCAGGGACAGACUUCAUGGCUGCUAGAGGGUCGCCAUGAAAAUAAUUUGUGUCGGGCCCCACUUUCCACAUACUACCCUCAGUCUUUCUAAUGACCCCAUGAGGUAGGUGCUGCCAUCAUCCUGGCUCUACAGAUGAGAAAACUCGGAGCAGUGAAGUGGCCUGAGGACAGGCGUCCAGGCCUCACUGUCACCAGCGUUGACAGCAUUCCCAUCAUGGCUUUGCUUCAUCUUUUCUUAUUCAAAGACAGAGAAAAGAAAGUCUGUUUCUACUUCUGUAUGGCCCUUGUGCUAGCUCAACCGCUCAGAGCAGGGGAGUUAAAGUGCCAGCAAGCGAAAUACCUCCAGCUGAGUACCAAAGAUGAGACAGUCAGAGGCAGCUUCAUAUUGAAGGCAGAUCCUCUGAGUAUGUCUUUAUUGGGGAACUGACAUUUAUAGAUGACAAAGAGCUUUCACAUUCAUUAGGUCAAGGAGGAGAAGCAGCGCUAGUAACAGUUGAAGGAGUAAUUAGUAAUAGUAACAAUAAAAGUACCUUUCAUUUAGUACUUGUCACAUACUGGGUACAUUUACCUAUAUAUAUUUCUAAUUUUCAAAACAACCCAAUGAGGAAACUGAGACCCUGAACGUGGCU